rnacentral:misc_RNA from 1 species
GAAGCGCGGCCGUCGUACAGACGCGCUUCGUUAGCAGCGUCAGUGUCUCCCCGCGCACGGGCGCAGACAGGCAGGCACGCACGCGUGUGGCUUUGCCCGAUCAGUUGAUCGGGGGCUGUUUUUCUCUUCCUCCUCCCCACCCCCACCCCCGCUCCCGUGCUGGAGGACGGCGGACAUCACCUACAGCAUCGUGCCGCGGUAUCCUGGGUCUUUGCAAUCUCUUUGACCCCGUACGAGCGGCUGCACGCGCUCCCUUAGAUAUAGACGUCACCAUCAUUGCAGUGGUGUGUGUGUGUGUGUGUGUGUGUGUGUGUGUGUGUGUGAAACGCUCGUAGAAGGAGAUCUGACGCCUGCGUCGCUCCCCUCACCUCCCCCACCACCACCACCCCUCUAUCCCGCACAUAUUUCCCACUUUUCGAGAAUGAGCAUCGCUCCCCGAGACCCUCGCCAGCCGCCACUGGCGACGAUCGCCACCCUCAGCAACGCUGGGCACGUGACCUCUCCCACGCCGAGCAUCAGCGCCGCACGUGGCGCGUCGCCGCCAGCGCAGCCUUACCUGCACCACACCACACCAUCCCGUAGCAACGCCCAGCUGCUGGCCGGCAUGAGCCCCACCACCAUGUCUUUCCUCUCAGGGCUGUCCGCCGGCCUUGCUCCAGGGACGCCGAGAGUCGCUGGCGUAGGGGCGACCGUCGAGCCGCCGAUGGAGAAGAGCACUGGUGAUGGGGCGCGCCAAAGCCCAUUGGGUGCAGCAUCAGCAGCGGCCGUUGCAACAAGCGACGAUAUUCUACGUGGCAUCUACAACGAGAAGCUGCAGGCCAGCGUCCGAAGCAUCAUCACGACUCUCACGACGGAGCUGCCGCAGGACCACAUUUUCCUUCAGCUGCUUGCGGACCCGACGACGCUGCAAUACUGCAAAGUGCGUCUCACUGAGGUCGUUGAAGGAUUCCUGUACUCGACGCAGGCAGAGCAGUACCAUACACUAGCCACCGAGCUCGCCCGAGGCGAGCGGGACUGUGCGCUGCUGCGCCAGCGAAUCGAAGAGCUCGAGGCCGCGCUGGCGGUGGCGAGUGUGCCGGUCCGAUCACCAACGCCGCCGCGGCAGGGGUUCUCGUCGCACGGAGGGAAAAGCGGCACCUGCGACGGCCACGCUCACCCGGCGGCGCCGGCGGGUUCGUCGUGGACCUCGUCGCCUACCAUGAUGCCCGCACCGGCAGCGGCAGCCCCAACCGCCUCCUCGGUCUCCCCCAGCAUCCCUGCCAACCCCAUGGAAAACGAGGAGGCGCGCCGCGAGCUGCUCCGUGUUCUCGAACAAGCCACGCACGACCAGGAGCUGCUCCGCUGCACCCAAGCGCUGCAAGCGGUCAGCAAAGUAGUCGACGUCGCCCAAGACGAGUCGCGCUGCGACGACAAGUACUUCUUCGAGGGGGAACUGCUAGGCGAGCUGUACAAGUGCGUCCACUCGCUGCUGCACUACGUCGACGGCGCACUGGAGAGUCAGGAACGACUGCGAUGCGAAAUCCAGGAGCAGCAGCAGCACUGGUUGCACGGCGUCGCCGCGGAGAGCAGCCACCAGGAUAUCGAUGACGGCGCCGCCGCUGGUAGUGCGGUGAGCGCCGACCGCUCUGCAUCAGUCUCCGCCGGCACAAAGGACAGCGGUACUCGUGGAGUGUUGGUCUCCGGCUAUUCGACGCCGCGACAUCCGCAGGUGUCAUUGGGAAACGCGGGCACGGCGCUGAUGAGCAGCGCCGUCGGCUCUCGCUUUUCGUCAGCCUCCUCCCCUGCCGCUGCUGAUCACACACGCCCCAUCCAGCAGCAACGGAAGCGGCUGCAGCGACUGGCAGAGCAGCUGCGAGAAGGACAGCAGCACGCCAGUCAGGUGCUCCAGACGCUGGCGCACAUGGAGAGCGCGCGUCGUCGUGAGGUGGCGCAGCUGGAGAUGGCAGUGGCCGCCGCGCGCGAAGAGGCGGCCGUCGCCACCAGCGCGGCAGAGAGCGCGCGGCAGGUGAAGGAGAAUUCGGAGCGGCUGCACGCCGAGCACGCGGCCUUUGUCGCCAGAGAGCGGACGGAGCUGCGCGACCAGCUGGCUGAUGUGCAUGCGCAGCUGGCAGCAGCGACACAAGACGUACACGCGGCGCGGCGUGAGUUGCGCAGCGCCACAAGUAGAGCCGAAGCGGCGGAGGAGAGAGAGAAAGACCUCGCCGCAGAGCUGGCUGCCCUCAAGGCUGCCAUGGCGCGCCGCGACGCGGAAUGGCAAGAGCAGAAAGCCGACCGCGUCGCUCGGCAGGCCGAGCUGACUGCUCUCAAAGCCGUGCAUCAGUCCACCGUCGACGCCCUUCAGGAUGCCGCACGGGAACUGCUGUGUCUGCGCGUAGAGGGAACAAUGGCGGGUCUUAGCGCUCUCUACCAGGAAGCGAAGGCCGCCAAGGCGGAGUUGCUAGAGCGCGAAGGCUAUCGACCUCUCUCCCACCGAUGCAGCAUUGCUGUAGCAACGCAGCAGGAAGUUGUGCGGCAUGCACAGGUGCAGUCUCAGCUGGCCGAAUCGGCGCAGGCAGAGCAGGCAGUGGCUCAGCGUGGGUGCAUGGAUGCACUUGGCAUGCUGCUGCGCUCCAUGUGGGCAGAUGAAGCUAUCGAGUCUGCGCUCACACCGUCGUCCGCGAGCACAGCCGCGCUGGUUGUCACUGGGACUCACUUGACAGACGGCAAGGACGCGAGAGAAGCACCCAGAGGCGGCCGCACACGCCGCGGCAGUCGCACCAGCAGUUGUGGCAGCACCACCAGCGGCAACGCGGAAGACCCUGGUGCAGAGAAUCCAAGAAGUUCGCACGGCUACCGCCUUCCCCAAACGCUGGCAGGACUCUGCACCUCCCUGGAGUACGCCUACAACAACGUCCGUGCCCGGCACCGUGCCAGACAGCAGACGAUCGACUCGCUGCGCGCUGCGCUGGUGAGCAAGGACAUCGAACUGCGCGCGGCACAGGCCAGCGAUGCACAGCUGCGAGAGCUGUUGAAGGCAGAGCAGGCCAAGGAGGAGCAAUGGAAGGCAGAGAUGGCGCAGCUUAGUGAUCAAAACCCGAUGCGAGGGCUGCUCGCCCGGCAGGAAAGGCUGUUGAAGGCCGUCAGCGAUGAGCGCAACGAGCUGCGCCGACUGUGGAACCAACUGAGUGGCGACUACAUCGCCCUGGAGCAGCGCAACGGCGCCUUGCACGCGCGGUGUGCCGAGAAGGAGCACGAAAACGCACGGCUGAACGGAAUGUUGCGACGCGGCGGUACGCCGACCACCCCAGCCGGCCCUCGUCGCAAAGACGCCGCUUCCUGCAGUGCCGCGCGAGGCCCACCCGCGAUCCCGGCAGCCGCGGAAGCCGCGCCAAGGCUGUCGGCGCUGGCAACGGCAGCGGCGCCGCUCGGGACCUCGGCCGAUCGCCCAACCUCCACAUUGGGGUCCGACUCUUCCUCUCCCUCGCACGCCAACUCCACCGAAGCCUUGUCGAAUCAAGUGCCCGAGUAGCGAGAGUCGCUCGACUGUCUGCCCGAUGGGAGGCAGACGGAGAGGAGGGGGGGGGGUCGGGCGGAGCUCGAUGUCCGGCCACAGCAACGCUGCGUGUUUGCCUUGUCCGUGGUGCGCGUGUCUGUGCGUUGUCGGUUUAGGGCUCAGUAUGGCGCUCUUGUGUUCUCUCUAACACAAGCGCACGUGGACACCUCCCCUCCUCCUCCUUCACCAGCACGCUUGGUCUUUUCCACUG